rnacentral:rRNA from 1 species
CCCGGGUCUUGUACACACCGCCCGUCACACCAUGGGAGUGGGUUUCACCAGAAGUAGGUAGUCUAACCGCAAGGGGGCGCUUACCACGGUGGGAUUCAUGACUGGGGUG